GUUUGAAGAUACCCUAAACUUAACCUAACAUAACCUAGCAAAACCCAAAACAGUCUUGACCCAGGAAAUUCAUAUAUGCUUCCUUACUAAUGAGACUUUCUAUACAACAAAGUGAGGUCAUUCUUUGUUGAUAUAUACCAUAAGGUGCUGGCUAUCAUGUGUUUGAAGAUACCCUAAACUUAACCUAACAUAACCUAGCAAAACCCCAAACAGUCUUGACCCAGGAAAUUCAUAUAUGCUUCCGUACUAAUGAGACUUUCUAUACAGCAAAGUGAGGUCAUUCUUUGUUGAUAUAUACCAUAAGGUGCUGGCUAUCAUGUGUUUGAAGAUACCCUAAACUUAACCUAACAUAACCUAGCAAAACCCAAAACAGUCUUGACCCAGAAAAUUCGUAUAUGCUUCCUUACUAAUGAGACUUUCUAUACAACAAAGUGAGGUCAUUCUUUGUUGAUUUAUACCAUAAGGUGCUGGCUAUCAUGUGUUUGAAGAUACCCUAAACUUAACCUAACAUAACCUAACAAAACCCCAGACAGUCUUGACGCAGAAAAUUCAUAUAUGGUUCCUUACUAAUGAGACUUUCUAUACAACAAAGUGAGGUCAUUCUUUGUUGAUAUAUACCAUCGGGGGCUUUCUGAAACUGAGAAAAUUAAGCUGAAGUGUAAAAAUGAGCCAGUAGACAUCCGAUUCAUAAUUCUCUUUUUCAACAAGUCCUUCCCUUCGUCAAACUUCAAUGGGCAAAAACGCACUUAUUUCAGGAUUUGACAGGCAUCCUUUUCCGUCAAGAGCGCUGGAAUUUUAGUGAGAGAUGACGAGUGUAUAUCAUAUUGGUGUGCGCAUGGCCUCAGCUCUCAUAUUGUAGUGUGGCGACGGGCUGAUGAGCAAGCCUCCCAUAACCCAUUCAGCCAGUGGGGUACAUCUUUGGCCGACUCGGUAAGGAACAGCUCUCCCGUCUCGCUGGUCGCGGGUUCAAUCCCAGGCAGCCGGGGAACACCCUCUCCAUGUUGUGAUCAAAUUCUCGUGUGUUUCGAUCCACGCAGAGGACGUGUGGGGCCCGAGAUUGUAAUAGAAAAAGAGAAUAGAAAAUCUCGUCAUUAAAAUAUCCGUCACAUUGCCCCAUAAUAGAAUAGUAGUGGUCUCUUGGUUUGAGGAGGCUAUGUUAAGUUUUCUCAUUCCUCGUCUUUGUUAAGUUAAUAUCUUUGUUUGUUUUCCUCUACGAUCUUUUGUGAAGUUCCCUAAGUUCCCCAAGUUCCAUAAGUUCCCUAAAUUCCCUAAGUUCCCCAAGUUCCUUAAAUUCCCUAAGUUCCCCAAGUUACAUAAGUUCCCUAAAUUCCCUAAGUGACCCAAGUUCCUUAAAUUCCCUAAGUUCCCCAAGUUCCCUAAGUUUUAUUGACGAGAGUAUAUAUAUAUCCUAUAGGUGUGCGCAUGGCCUCAGCGCUCAUAUUUGUCACAUCUGCCCAUAAUAUAAUAGAAGCAAUCUCUUGGUUUGAGGAGGUUAGGUUAAGAUUUCUCAUUGGUAAUAUACUUUUUAUAUUUUCUUUAUCUUUGUUAUCUAAUAUCUAUGU